rnacentral:rRNA from 1 species
AACGAACGCUGGCGGCAUGCCUAACACAUGCAAGUCGAACGAAGCCUUCGGGCUUAGUGGCGCACGGGUGCGUAACACGUGGGAAUCUGCCCUUCGGUUCGGAAUAACAGUUAGAAAUGACUGCUAAUACCGGAUGAUGACGUAAGUCCAAAGAUUUAUCGCCGAAGGAUGAGCCCGCGUAGGAUUAGGUAGUUGGUAGGGUAAUGGCCUACCAAGCCGACGAUCCUUAGCUGGUCUGAGAGGAUGAUCAGCCACACUGGGACUGAGACACGGCCCAGACUCCUACGGGAGGCAGCAGUGGGGAAUAUUGGACAAUGGGCGAAAGCCUGAUCCAGCAAUGCCGCGUGAGUGAUGAAGGCCUUAGGGUUGUAAAGCUCUUUUACCAGGGACGAUAAUGACGGUACCUGGAGAAUAAGCCCCGGCAAACUUCGUG